rnacentral:rRNA from 1 species
GUACACUCCUGCGGGAGGCAGCAGUGGGGAAUAUUGGACAAUGGGCGCAAGCCUGAUCCAGCCAUGCCGCGUAAGUGAUGAAGGCCCUAGGGUUGUAAAGCUCUUUCACCGGUGAAGAUAAUGACGGUAACCGGAGAAGAAGCCCCGGCUAACUUCGUGCCAGCAGCCGCGGUAAUACGAAGGGGGCUAGCGUUGUUCGGAUUUACUGGGCGUAAAGCGCACGUAGGCGGACUAUUAAGUCAGGGGUGAAAUCCCGGGGCUCAACCCCGGAACUGCCUUUGAUACUGGUAGUCUUGAGUUCGAGAGAGGUGAGUGGAAUUCCGAGUGUAGAGGUGAAAUUCGUAGAUAUUCGGAGGAACACCAGUGGCGAAGGCGGCUCACUGGCUCGAUACUGACGCUGAGGUGCGAAAGCGUGGGGAGCAAACAGGAUUAGAUACCCGGGUAGUCCC